GACGAACGCUGGCGGCGUGCUUAACACAUGCAAGUCGAACGGUAAGGCCCUUCGGGGUACACGAGUGGCGAACGGGUGAGUAACACGUGGGUGAUCUGCCCUGCACUUCGGGAUAAGCCUGGGAAACUGGGUCUAAUACCGGAUAGGACCACUGCCUGCAUGGGUGGUGGUGGAAAGCUUUUGCGGUGUGGGAUGGGCCCGCGGCCUAUCAGCUUGUUGGUGGGGUGAUGGCCUACCAAGGCGACGACGGGUAGCCGGCCUGAGAGGGUGACCGGCCACACUGGGACUGGGGCACGGCCCGGACUGCUGCGGGAGGCAGCGGUGGGGAAUAUUGCACAAUGGGCGCAAGCCGGAUGCAGCGACGCCGCGUGAGGGAUGACGGCCUUCGGGUUGUAAACCUCUUUCAGCACCGACGAAGCGCAAGUGACGGUAGGUGCAGAAGAAGGACCGGCCAACUACGUGCCAGCCGCCGCCGUAA
rnacentral:rRNA from 1 species